rnacentral:misc_RNA from 1 species
UGGAAUCUCUAUUUCUUCUUUCUAUAUAAGGGUCACAGUUCAAGAGAAGGAGCGGAGACAGAAGAAAGAGAAAGAGAGGGGUGAAGUUUUAUAAGAAAAUGGAGGCAACGAGAGGAUUGCUGUUGUUGAUGAUGAUUAUCAUCAUGAUCACAAGGAGAGGAGAUGCACAACUAAUAGAGAACUUCUACAGCUCAAGUUGUCCAAACGUGGAAGCUAUAGUGAAACAGGCAGUGAGUACAAAGUUCAGCCAGACCUUCACUACAAUCCCAGCAACUCUGCGUUUAUUUUUCCAUGACUGUUUCAUUACGGGUUGUGAUGCCUCGAUCUUGGUUUCAUCACCAAAUGGAGAUGCAGAGAAAGAUGCACCAGAUAAUCUUUCUCUUGCAGGAGAUGGAUUUGACACCGUAGUAAAAGCAAAGCAAGCAGUGGAAGCUCAGUGUCCUAGUGUUGUGUCUUGUGCAGAUAUCAUGGCAAUUGCUGCAAGGGAUGUAGUAGUCCUGGCUGGAGGUCCUUCAUUCAGCGUAGAAUUGGGGCGUCGCGAUGGCUUAAUUUCUCAAUCAUCACUUGUGGCGGGAAAUCUACCUGAACCUAACUUCACUCUUUCUCAACUCAACACCAUUUUUGCCAAGAAUAACCUUAGCCAAAUUGACAUGAUUGCACUUUCAGGAGCACAUACAGUAGGAUUCUCUCAUUGCAACCGCUUUGCAAAUCGUCUCUAUUCCUUCUCUCCAUCCUCUCCUGUUGACCCUUCUCUAGAUCCUAACUAUGCCAAGCAAUUGAUGAAUGCCUGUCCUCAGAAUGUAGACCCUAGCAUAGCAGUAAACAUGGACCCAAUAACCCCACAAAUCUUUGACAAUGUUUAUUAUCAAAAUCUGGUUGGUGGGAAGGGCUUGUUCACUUCAGAUGAGGUGCUCUUCACUGACCCUUCUUCUAAGCCUACUGUCACCGAUUUUGCAAAUAGCCCUGGCGAUUUUAAUGGAGCCUUUGUUGCAGCUAUGAGAAAACUUGGUAGAGUGGGAGUUAAGACUGGCAACCAAGGACGGAUAAGGACAGAUUGCACCAACCUUAAUUCUUGAUACUUACUUCAAUGGGUUGUUUCUGUUUACUUACAUAAAUAGAAAUUGGAUUAUAAAGAGACGUUCACAGAGUCUAUCUUCAAUUGCUAUGUAGCUAACCAAGAAAUUCAAG